rnacentral:rRNA from 1 species
GUCCACGCCGUAAACGAUGAUCACUAGGUGUAGCGGGUACUCAUUCCUGCUGUGCCGUAGCUAACGCGUUAAGUGAUCCGCCUGGGGAUUACGGUCGCAAGACUAAAACUCAAAGGAAUUGACGGGGGCCCGCACAAGCGGUGGAGUAUGUGGUUUAAUUCGACGCAACGCGAAGAACCUUACCUGGGCUUGACAUCCCCGGACAUGCAUAGAAAUAUGUCCUUCCCUUUCGGGGGACCGGGAGACAGGUGCUGCAUGGCUGUCGU